rnacentral:rRNA from 1 species
CCAAUAGCGUAUAUUAAAGUUGUUGCAGUUAAAAAGCUCGUAGUUGAACUUCAGGCCUGUCCAGAUGGUCCGCCUUAAUUGGUGUGUACUGUCCUUGGGUGGGUCCUACCUUCUGGCGAAGCGGCAUGGCCUUAGUUGGUUGUGUCGGGGAACCAGGACUUUUACUGUGAAAAAAUUAGGGUGUUCAAAGCAGGCAAAUAUGCUCGAAUACAUUAGCAUGGAAUAAUGGAAUAGGACGAUGGUUCUAUUUUGUUGGUUCUAGGACCGUUGUAAUGAUUAAUAGGGAUAGUUGGGGGCAUUAGUAUUCAAUUGUCAGAGGUGAAAUUCUUGGAUUUAUUGAAGACUAACUACUGCGAAAGCAUUUGCCAAGGAUGUUUUCAUUAAUCAAGAACGAAAGUUAGGGGAUCGAAGACGAUCAGAUACCGUCGUAGUCUUAACCAUAAACUAUGCCGACUAGGAAUCGGGCGAUGUUGACAAAAUGACUCGCUCGGCACCUCAUG